AUUGAACGCUGGCGGCAGGCUUAACACAUGCAAGUCGAGCGGAGAUGAGGUGCUUGCACCUUAUCUUAGCGGCGGACGGGUGAGUAAUGCUUAGGAAUCUGCCUAUUAGUGGGGGACAACAUUCCGAAAGGAAUGCUAAUACCGCAUACGUCCUACGGGAGAAAGCAGGGGAUCUUCGGACCUUGCGCUAAUAGAUGAGCCUAAGCCGGAUUAGCUAGUUGGUGGGGUAAAGGCCUACCAAGGCGACGAUCUGUAGCGGGUCUGAGAGGAUGAUCCGCCACACUGGGACGGAGACACGGCCCAGACUCCUACGGGAGGUAGCAGUGGGGAAUAUUGGACAAUGGGGGGAACCCUGAUCCAGCCAUGCCGCGUGUGUGAAGAAGGCCUUAUGGUUGUAAAGCACUUUAAGCGAGGAGGAGGCUACUGAGACUAAUACUCUUGGAUAGUGGACGUUACUCGCAGAAUAAGCACCGGCUAACUCUGUGCCAGCAGCCGCCGUAAGAC
rnacentral:rRNA from 1 species